rnacentral:tRNA from 1 species
GGCCUCGUGGUCUAGUGGUAUGAUUCUCGCUUCGGGUGCGAGAGGUCCCGGGUUCGAUCCUGGUGAGGCCC